rnacentral:lncRNA from 1 species
ACAAAGUGAGUAGGUGCUGGGAACUAGCAGUUAGUCACACACUGAGAAAUGGAAGGAAGGAGUUGGGGUGAUGUUGGCAAAAGAAGAAACGAUAACAAGAUCGAAAUAAACAAAUUUGCUUCCUAGGACAGCAGAGGUACAGAUCAUAAUGAGAUCUGAAGGGAGAUAAACUCAGGGACUGAGGAAGCCAGCAAUGCAUUCUGGCAGCUAUCAAAGAUGUGUACCAAAUGAAGAUCAGUUUAAAAAGUAAAAUGAAACUGUGCAGUUUUAAUUUAUUCUUUUGGGGAGAUUCAGGCAGCUAUUGAGGGCCAAACUCUGCCCUGAUGUAAACAGAUCAGAUCUCUCUUGAAGUCAGAGAGAGAGCAAGAGGGAGAGGCUGCAGUAAAGCAGGGGGAUGAUUCAGGAGAAUUUCAAAGGCGGGUGGAUUGGACAGGGAUUGUUCGUAAUCAAAUGACAGCAGCCGGCCACCCACAAGGAGAUUUACAGGAUAGCUAACCCACUGUUUGUAUUAUAUAAAUACCAUCCGUCUGAGAGCCUGCCUUUCUCUGGCACUCAGCAGGCUUUCUGACUAAUAAAGAUCAUCUAAACCUAGUGGUUGACCACAGGGAAACAUAAGAAAAGGCAGGUGGCAAAGGAGCAUAGCAGAGAUAUUAUUAAUGGGAAAGGUGAGAUGAUAGGCACCACCUAUAUUUAAACCAUUAUUAUUCUGCUGAACACAGUGAUCCUAGUGUUACUGUCCCUGGCUCUGUUUCUCUGACUUGCUAUUUAUUUUCAAUGUUUAGGUAAACAAAUCUAGUGCUAGUGGUUAUGAAUAUAACUGCAAUCAAAACAACAAUCAAAGUAAUUCUUUCUUCCUACCAGUUACCAGCAUGAAGCCUGGAGGCAACAGACUUCAACCGAUAACCUUCCCAAGAUGCUAUUUCAUUUGCUAAGUCAUGUUGAAUGCUAUCAAUUCCUUUUCAGAAUCAAGAUCUGGUGGAGGAAAAAUUAAAUGAAGCCAUCGAGGAAGGGCGGCUAAGAGAAGAAAAAGUUUGACACAAAAUCACAGAAGGGUAAUAAGAGGGAGCAUUCCCAGCCAGCUCUUUAUCUCCUGUUGAUGUGCCCUCAAUGCAACUGAAGGACUUGUACAUAUCCACUCCUAGGACUGCA